UUGUGCUGGCCUGGACUGUGUCGAACACGUGAAUCACCUGCAUUUCUCUCUUCUUUUCAGCAAAUGGAAAGGAUCCUGAAGAAAGCAUCCAAAACCCACAAGCAAAGAGUGGAGGACUUCAACAGACACCUGGAUACACUCACGGAGCACUAUGACAUUCCCAAAGUCAGCUGGACGAAGUAGCCUCCCCGCCUCGGUUAUGGAGUGGCACCGAGGGAAACCAGAAGGCCAACUUGGGUUACGUUUGGUGCCUUUGGUAUUUUUUAGAAAGAUUCUUUUACACAAACCAUUGCGUCUUCUGCUGAGACCGUGCUUUUCAAAGCAGCGUGCCCUCAUUCUGGAACUUGAUUAAAGUAAGACUGUCCUUUUGCUCUAUUUUUAGUUUCUCAAUAGCACAUUGAAAA